rnacentral:rRNA from 1 species
CAAUAGCGUAUAUCAAAGUUGUUGCAGUUAAAAAGCUCGUAGUUGGAUUUGUGGCGUACGGUGUGUUCCGGGCACUUGUUGUCUGAGUAACCUGCUGUUGCCAUCCUUGGGUGGAACCUGUGUGGCAUUAGGUUGUCGUGCAGGGGAUGCCCAUCAUUUACUGUGAAAAAAUUAGAGUGUUCAAAGCAGGCUUAUGCCGUUGAAUAUAUUAGCAUGGAAUAAUGAGAUAGGACUUUUUUGCUAUUUUGUUGGUUUGCGCAAAGAGGUAAUGAUUAAUAGGGACAGUUGGGGGUAUUCGUAUUCCAUUGUCAGAGGUGAAAUUCUUGGAUUUUUGGAAGACGAACUACUGCGAAAGCAUUUACCAAGGAUGUUUUCAUUAA